GUUGCUGAAAUUAAAGGAAGAAAUCAAGUUGAAAAUAAUUAGACUAGAUUACAGCUCAAGCAACCAGUAAUUUAUGGAGCGUUUACUACAUUAACUGCUGUUUGGUAUUUUCAACAGACUUCUAUUAAUAACAACCCUUUAUUACAACAUACUGUUUUUUUCUUUGCAUGCAGCUGCAAAUAUGUAAGUCACUAAGGAAAUAAGAAGCAUGUUGAGAGCAGAUGAGAUCCGUGUGCCCCUGGGCUUACAUCCACCUGGGUGAGCAGCUAACACUGACUCCAGUGCUAUUGUCUCUUCCUAAAGCCAUAUCAUCAUGCUGCACUGGAAGCAUGGCAUCUACGUAUUGCUAUCGGAACCAUACUGGCCCGCUCCUAUAAGUGCUGUUCCACCCCCACAGCCUUAGGGAUGACCAAAGAGAUGAUAAUGUGCAUCCCUCUGCUAAAUGCACUACUUACAAUUUCUCCAUCUUUUCCUCCAAAGUCUAAAUAAAGCAUCCUUAUCCCA